ACACAAUUCGUAUAUAGUAAAAAACAUGGUUGCACGCUCAUCUGGCAGACGCGAGAAUUGACUUUCCUGAUCAGAGUCCGGAUUGUUGGAUGAUGAUCUUAGGGAGAAUAAAUUGAAGAAGGAGCCUGUGAGGGGAUUAUCAGGCUUAAUACUUACGUAGAAAUCUCUAAGACUUAUGAGUUGUUGUGCAGAUGAACUGAGAACAGAAGAAAAGAACUCCUCGUCAACAAUCUUUGAUAAGCCCAAUCGAAAAGUGUUUACUGUCUCGAACUUGUCACAAGCACUGAGUAGGCCAAUUGCAUAAACGGCAGUCUCAAAACCAAAUUUCCUUUUAAGUAUCACAGUAUAAAGAGUACUAAAAACAUCGUAGUUCCCGUAUAUAUGAGAUAUGAAAGAAGAAUUGUAGAGAAAGGAAACAAAAUGUAAAACAAAUCUUA